UCUCCGUAGGUGAACCAGCGGAGGGAUCAUUACAGAGUUCUCACCCCUCCGGGUACAUUUCUACCCACCCCGACUGACACUGUGCUGCUUUGGCUGCCCGCCGGCCCCUGCUCGCCCGCCCGCUCCGGCUCCCGCCCGCCCGCCAGAGGCCCUGCAAACUGUUAAUGUCAGUUCCGACUGAUUACCAUAUAAAAGAUAAAACCUACAACAACGGCUUUCUUGGUUCCGGCAUUGAAGAAGAACGCAGAAGAUCGGAACAGCACUCUUCAGAACACCAGC
rnacentral:misc_RNA from 1 species